UACGUAGGGUGCAAGCGUUAUCCGGAAUUAUUGGGCGUAAAGAGCUCGUAGGCGGUUUGUCGCGUCUGCUGUGAAAACUGGAGGCUCAACCUCCAGCCUGCAGUGGGUACGGGCAGACUAGAGUGAUGUAGGGGAGACUGGAAUUCCUGGUGUAGCGGUGAAAUGCGCAGAUAUCGGGAGGAACACCAAUGGCGAAGGCAGCUUGCUGGGACGGUACUGACGCUGAGGCGCGAAAGCGUGGGGAGCGAACAGG
rnacentral:rRNA from 1 species